rnacentral:misc_RNA from 1 species
GAUGAAGAACGCAGCGAAAUGCGAUAAGUAAUGUGAAUUGCAGAAUUCAGUGAAUCAUCGAAUCUUUGAACGCACAUUGCGCCCGCCAGUAUUCUGGCGGGCGUGCCUGUUCGAGCGUCAUUUCAACCCUCAAGCCCCCGGGCUUGGUGUUGGGGAUCGGCGUGCCCUCGCGGCGCGCCGUCCCCUAAAUCUAGUGGCGGUCUCGCUGUAGCUUCCUCUGCGUAGUAGCAACACUCGCACUGGAUCGCAGCGCGGCCACGCCGUUAAACCCCCCACUUCUGAAAGUUUGACCUCGGAUCAGGUAGGAAUACCCGCUGAACUUAAGCAUAUCAAUAAGCGGAGGA